rnacentral:rRNA from 1 species
GGGGAGCGCCGCUAUCUGCAGUAGACGCUGAGGUUUGGUGUUUACACUAGACUGAUGAGUUGCGAACGGGUGAGUAACGCGUAGGUAACCUGCCUCAUAGCGGGGGAUAACUAUUGGAAACGAUAGCUAAUACCGCAUAAGAGUAAUUAACACAUGUUAGUUAUUUAAAAGGAGCAAUUGCUUCACUGUGAGAUGGACCUGCGUUGUAUUAGCUAGUUGGUGAGGUAAAGGCUCACCAAGGCGACGAUACAAAGCCGACCUGAGAGGGUGAUCGGCCACACUGGGACUGAGACACGGCCCAGACUCCUACGGGAGGCAGCAGUAGGGAAUCUUCGGCAAUGGACGGAAGUCUGACCGAGCAACGCCGCGUGAGUGAAGAAGGUUUUCGGAUCGUAAAGCUCUGUUGUUAGAGAAGAACGUUGGUAGGAGUGGAAAAUCUACCAAGUGACGGUAACUAACCAGAAAGGGACGGCUAACUACGUGCCAGCAGCCGCGGUAAUACGUAGGUCCCGAGCGUUGUCCGGAUUUAUUGGGCGUAAAGCGAGCGCAGGCGGUUCUUUAAGUCUGAAGUUAAAGGCAGUGGCUUAACCAUUGUACGCUUUGGAAACUGGAGGACUUGAGUGCAGAAGGGGAGAGUGGAAUUCCAUGUGUAGCGGUGAAAUGCGUAGAUAUAUGGAGGAACACCGGUGGCGAAAGCGGCUCUCUGGUCUGUAACUGACGCUGAGGCUCGAAAGCGUGNNGGAGCAACAGGAUUAGAUACCCUGGUAGUCCACGCCGUAAACGAUGAGUGCUAGGUGUUAGGCCCUUUUCCGGGCUUAGUGCCCGCAGCUACGCAUUAAGCACUCCGCCUG